GCCGAAGUAGCUCAGGGUAGAGCAACGGUUUCGUAAACCGUAGGUCGUGAGUUCAAAUCUCAUCUUCGGCU
rnacentral:tRNA from 1 species